ACUACAUCUUGGUUAUAAUUCUGUAGUGCAGCAAAUGAAGAUCGAUGCAGAACUAAAGUAGAUAUUGAGGGAGGCGUGAAAAAUGAAAACGAAAAGAGUGAAAUGGAAACGUAAAUCCCACAUAAAGUGGCAAAAUGUUUAAAAUGCAGAGUGGCUUAGAGCAAGACUCUCAUGAACAUUUGUUGACAUCAGUGCAAUGGACAGAGCUGAGGAAAAAAUGACCUUCUUGUGAACUUUUACAAAGAAUGCAAAAGAGCCAAGUGUGAGUUUCAAUGCUGUUGCC
rnacentral:lncRNA from 1 species